CUCUGUGACUGGCAGGUGCAUGAUGUCACAAUGAGGUUAGCUAUCUCGCAAAAAAGAUGGGGAAUGACAUGGGAAGCAAUUUAGGAUUAACAAAGAGAUAUGGACAUCAAAGCGCAAAGUGACAGCUCCGGUCACACUGCAGAGGCAGAGAAAUGCAGGAAUGCUUUUUAUACACUUUCUGGAAAAUUGUUUUCAUUGCCCAGAUAAACUAUCUACAGAAAGGUCAUGAAAAGUGCGAAUCUAGCUUAUUUUGAAUGAUCAGUCCAAGAUUGGUUGGAUUGUUUUGUCUGAAGAGCGGUUUUAUUUUGCUUUGUUCAAAAUGAAGAGAAGAAAGGAAGAACGGCAAGGAAACGGUGCUGAUAGGAAGGGCGGGGAGAUUGAAGCUCAAACAUUGCGAAGUCAGAAGUUCAUUAAAAACGGAAGGUUAUAGCUCUUAUUGUCCCUACGUCAGUCCUCCCCUUAACAAGCUCUCCCCAUGACGCCAGGAGCAGCCUGCUAAAUGUCAGUUACUUACUGGCUGAAUAGAAAAAGAAGAAAAGUGGCUAUUUGCUUGUCUGUUAUGAAAGCAUCGAUCCAGCCUGAAAAGAGUGCAGGCUAAGAAGCCAGUGGAUGUCCAGGAUUUAACUCCUUUCUCCUACAGGCCUCCCUGGAGCUCCCAAGGAGAGGACGGGGAAUUCUUCUCCAGGCCUUUCCCAAACAGCUAGAAACUUACGCUCUUUGCAGCAUCUCCUCCCUACCCGUCACCCUGUCACACCAGUACAUCCUGCAUAUUCCUUGGAGACAAAGAUCUCGGAGCAUGGACUAGCAGAGAACUAACCAGGUUGGAUAAAUGCCAUUGGCUGUGCAGCGGAAGUACGAAAGCCCAGAACUGUGUUGGCUUUUUUGGCAGCUGCUGCACACUGCUGGGAAGGAAGAAGAAAGGAGAAUGAAGAGGAAAUGAAAAAGAA